rnacentral:sRNA from 1 species
UCAUCCUCUUGAAUAUCUACAAUGUUUUUAACUUUUUGUUUAAACUUAUCACGUUUAGCUCUGAUUUUAUCUAAAUCGACACUUCUUCUUGUCUUACGAGCAUAUUCUGUUGUCUUAUCUUGGAGUUG